GCUUCACUAGCUUAGUAGGCAGAGCGUCAGUCUCAUAAUCUGAAGGUCGAGAGUUCGAACCUCCCGUGGAGCA
rnacentral:tRNA from 1 species